rfam:Nicotiana attenuata strain TT chromosome 2, whole genome shotgun sequence.
AACUCUCGACAAUGGAUAUCUUGGCUCUUGCAUAAGUGGAAUACGUAGUGAAAUACGAUAUUUUGUGUGAAUUAUAUAAUCACGUAAACCAUUAAAUUUUUAAACGCAAGUUGCGCCCGAAGCUAUUAGGCUGAAAGCACGUCAACCUCGACA